rnacentral:snoRNA from 1 species
GUGAUGUUAAUCAUGGUCUGCCAAUCCACUGAAAUUAUUAGUGUGAUGUUAAUCAUGAAUCCCGACAGGUUCUGAUCGU